rnacentral:rRNA from 1 species
GUCUACGGCCAUGCCACCCUGAACGCGCCCGAUCUCAUCUAGUCUCAGAAGCUAAGCAGGGUCGGGCCUGGUUAGUACUUGGAUGGGAGACCACCUGGAAUACCAGGUGCGGUG